GACUGGCAGAGAUGCCUUUCUUCCCUUCGGGGACCUACACACAGGUGCUGCAUGGCUGUCGUCAGCUCGUGUCGUGAGAUGUUGGGUUAAGUCCCGCAACGAGCGCAACCCUCGACUUUAGUUACCAUCAUUAAGUUGGGUACUUUAAAGUAACCGCCGGUGAUAAGCCGGAGGAAGGUGGGGAUGACGUCAAGUCCUCAUGGCCCUUACGCGCUGGGCUACACACGUGCUACAAUGGCAAGUACAGUGGGCAGCAAUCCCGCGAGGGUGAGCUAAUCUCCAAAACUUGUCUCAGUUCGGAUUGUUCUCUGCAACUCGAGAGCAUGAAGGCGGAAUCGCUAGUAAUCGCGGAUCAGCAUGCCGCGGUGAA
rnacentral:rRNA from 1 species